GCGGGCGUAGCUCAAUGGUAGAGCCCCAGCCUUCCAAGCUGAUUACGCGGGUUCGAUUCCCGUCGCCCGCUCCA
rnacentral:tRNA from 8 species